rnacentral:rRNA from 1 species
UCCGCAGGCGGUCAAUUAAGUCAGAGGUGAAAUACCAUAGCUCAACUAUGGAACUGCCUUUGAUACUGGUUGACUUGAGUCAUAUGGAAGUAGAUAGAAUGUGUAGUGUAGCGGUGAAAUGCAUAGAUAUUACACAGAAUACCGAUUGCGAAGGCAGUCUACUACGUAUGUACUGACGCCGAGGGACGAAAGCGUGGGGAGCGAACAGGAUUAGAUACCCUGGUAGUCC